AAAUCUUCCGGAGGUUGGAAUCCCAAGGCUGUGGGUCACGGCCACUCACUGGUGCCCUGACCCAUGAAGGAAAUGAGACAGAGAGGCAGCCAUGAGGGAGACUCGAACCACAUCUGGAGCCUCGGUUUAACUUCGGCCAACAUUCAACAGCUGUUUCCUUUUUCAGUGCUCAACAGUGCACAUUUAAGGACAUUUUAAAACUAAUGUUUUCUAACUGCUACAAAUGUAACUCGGUAUUUUUUUAAACAAGGGCCCAAAUGAUUUCAAUCCAGAGGAUGUAGGUCCUACAAGGAAGCAAAGAAACAAGCCGCUUUUAGCAGUUGCAGAAAUGGAACCCCAGAGGGGCUUUAAAAGCGUGAGUCAUGAAAGAAUAAGUGCGAAGUUGGAACAUUUCCCGGAGAUCCCUGAGGGACAAGGGACUUGGCCCGGGUCUCCAGAGGGGAAGGAGGGUACCAGGAAGGAGCCACUUGCUGCCAGACCAGGAGCUGGUGCAGACAUCUGGGCUGGGCGCCACUGCAGCAGCGACAGAACCUGCCGGGACCCAGGGCCACCAAAGGGGCACGCGGGGACAGCCUUGCUGCUGCAGAGAAAGGCUGCUACAUGGAGACGGGGAGCCAGGCAGGAUCCUGGGGUUCCUGGCUCCAGGGAGAGAGAAACUCAUCUGGAUUUAGCUGACCACAGGGGAAAAGUUUACUUCCAGAAAAUACGUCAGAACCGACUCUUUAUUUCCGCAUUUCUAACAUGGACUAGUCUCCAAAUAUUUCUACACGCCUCAAGUGGGAUGUGAAACCGAUUCAUAGUUUUCAUGUGAUAAUGAUUUUCCCCUAAAACAAACAUUAAAUUGAUGAGCUAAUCAGGAAGCAUCUUAGAAUUGAGGAGCUAUACCAUGUUUUUCAGGUGGUAAAUACCUUGGAAACUUACAGUGGAGCCAUUUUAAGAGAGGAAGUUCUAGAAAAUGCCUCUCAUGUGACCCAACACGGCUGUGACGUGGACCAUAGAGAGACCAUGCCCUGCCUACAAUGCCAGGAGAAAUGAGGGCACCGGAGAAAACAGCUGCCAACUGGACCUUUCCUAAACUCAGUCCUGAAGGACCGGCCAGGGUCUGUCUACGGCAGAUGCAAAAUUCCUUGCAAAUCUUUGCUGCAAUAAGGUGUAUGCUGUACAAGCUGGCUUAUGAUCUCACAGCACUGCGCAUGUGGCGAGAGGUGUCCUUUGUUGUUUGCACGGUAUUGAGUUUUACACUAGCAGAUCAUUUCAUUUUUAUUGGUGCAAAAGCAAGGUUUAACAUAAAUUCUUGGAUCACUUAUAGUUUCACAAAGUUACUUAAUUCCCUGAUCAUCUUUCUCUCAUCUGUAAGGAGAAAUGAAUAGCUGUAAUAGUGAUAUAAGGAUCAUUACCUAUCAACAAAGAUUAUUCCAGAAUUCUUUCUGGAAUCAAAUGAGCUAUGAAGAAAAGAACAAACCAAAAGAUAAAAAGAUCAUGGUAUUCAAUAAAUGGUAGUUUGUUCUCCAUGGUAUUUUAUACUUCUUUCUAUUGCAAAGGGGGAGAAUUUUACCGCUGCAAUCAACAAAUAUAUGAAAAGAACUUACCACCAUCAAUGGUGACACAUCCCAAUGUAGCUAAUUAUUUCACCUGAUUCAGAGUGAGACUCUGUCGCAAAUUAAAACCAAAGGCAUAUAAUUUCAGAGGAAAGACUGCCCUGAAUGACAAGAAGGAAUAUAAUGUAAGUACAGCAGAAGACCAUGACUCAGAAGUCGCCCGGUGGGACUGAGUAGCUCGCACUGUACGAGUCUGUGCUCCCCUUACGGACAGGAGAUACAAUUAAUUCCCCACGAGUGAAGAUAAAGAUCGUUCUAUCCCUUCAGGAAUUGUCUGAUACUUUUCAAGAAAGAACACUCAAAUUGAAAUGUAGAGGGGAAAAAGGGCAAAUAAAUAAGCACGCCUAGCUUCAGGGAACAUUGUAGCUUUUGUUCUUCUUGAGUUCUUCGUUUUGCGAGGUUGGAGUCUUCUGCGGUUGAAAGUUACAAGAAGGGGCUGCUGUUUCAGCUGUGCUCCCACCAAGGCCCAUGUGGGACAUCUUCCCUACUUGGUACUGCAUCCAGAGAUCAAAUACUUUGGAAACAUGCUAAAUACGUAUUUGUGAGAUAAGACACACAAGGGCUGAUCUAUUGACAAGAUUAAGGUUCUCCAGCACACUGCUGUCUUGCACGUGUCUGCCCAUGUAUUUCCUCAAAGAGAGCCUCAGCACUCCACCAUGCUACUUCCAAUCUGUUAAGUGUUGGUUCCCUCCCCCUCCCUUCUCUUUACUAGGAGACUUUAGGGAGGGUGGUUCCCCUCCCUUGCCCCAAGCCAUAUCUCCUGGGCUCGCUGCCCCCAUGCUCCACUGUGGGUUGACUUGGGCCAACCAGUAGGAGAGACCACUAGGACCCAAGAGUGAGAGUUAACGAUGUGCCACCCCCAAAUGUGCUGAACUGGUGUAGUGAUUAUUUCACGCUGAAAUCACCUGAAGAUCUGUAACUUUAAAAAGCACCAUUUGGCCAGUCUGGCCUCCAUUCAGCAAGCCACAGAGAUUCCCUUGGGAGGGACGCCCUUUGCAUGUUAAGGCUGAGAAGGAGCCUUGGGCACCAAAACCUCACCCCUGGGGCUGUGGUAAACCUGAGUAAACAAGGCCUGAAGGAAUGCUUGUCCUCCCCAAGCUCCCACCCUGUCUGCAGCAUCUCCUCCCAGGGCCCAGAACACCCUACCCUAGGUCAGCCACCAUCUGUCCUGCUUCCUUAUCCCUUCACACACUUAUUGUUCUUCAUCUAAAAAGCACAAAAACAUCAGGCUUUGGUCAUUUCUUCAGACUUCUCUCUCUUGGGAAUAUCCCAAAACUUUCACACUUUUCUCCCUGGUGAAUAGGCACUUGCACUCAUCCAGCCCAGAGCUCACUGGAGCACUUAGACGGGGUGGGAUGAGGGCUCCUCUCUCCCAGCACGGGCUCAAGGAGGGGUUCCAGUGUGUUCCCCAGGCCUCCUCCAGGGCAGCGCUGGUCAGGCGCCUCUCUGCUCUUCCCCAGCUCACAGCUGGCCUGGCUGACUGCAUUUCCUCCUCUCACCGUUGCCAGUCCCUGGGUGUCUCGUCACCACGUUGGUUUUCUUGUUUAUCCCCCUCAGUAACUCCCUGCCUUACAUUCGCUACAACUAACAGUUGAAUGAGCGGCCAGCUGGCCCUGGUGGUCCUGGGUGAUGCAUCUAAAAAUUAAGCAAAUCCUUGGGAAAAUUUGCCUCAUAUUUCAACAAUCCAGUCAGAGGAAAUUAUUUUGGUGCAUUGCAUAUUCUUUUUUUUUAAAGUAUAUAUUCCUUUUCUAGAUAUUUUCCCAAAAGAGUCAAAGUCAUUAUACCACAGUGAUACUGCAUAUCCAUGUCUACGGGAGUACAAUUCACAAUAGCAAAAUCUUGGAAACAGCCCAUAUACCCAUCAAUACAUGAAUGGAUAAAGUAGAUGUGGUGUUCAUAUACAAGGGAGUACCACUCUGCCAUACAGAAGGAUAAACUUGAGACGUGUUUAGGUAAAGGGAUGCAUCUUGAGACCAUAAUCUUAAGUGAGAUAAAUCAGACACACAACUUUAAAUAUUACAUUAUUUUUCUUGUGUUAGAAACCCAAAGUGUAAAUAAGGAUAAAGGUAAAGUGGAGGAUAGAUAUUAGGAAGUAGGAUGAAGUUGUUCAAGUGGAAAGGGAAACAGAGAGGGGAGGAAAAGAAGGGAAAAGGGAUUUUAAAAAAAGAGAACUGAAAGAAAAAUGGAAACGGAGCUUUUGUAAAUGAGGGGGGAGGGUUGAAAGGAGAGGAGAGGAAUGGGAAAAAAGAAUUAAGAUCUAUUAUGUACAGGUACAAAUUCCCCAGGACAAUGUGAUCAUUGUCUAUGACAAACGUGUACUAAUAAAAAAUAAAGUAUUUUAAAAAGGCAUUUAUUUGACCAGCUACACUAGACAGAGAAACUGAAAAUAUAAGGAUCAAAUGUUACAAGCAGCCUGAAUGAUUCUUAUAAAACCAAUGAGUUUUAUUGUAUUGUGAUUGUGUGCGGUACUGUUUAAAAUAAAUAGAACCUCACAUAUGGUAAUGUAAGCUAUUUUUGGAGAUAAUUACUCGGCAGCUUGGUU
rnacentral:lncRNA from 1 species